AUUGAACGCUGGCGGCAUGCUUUACACAUGCAAGUCGAACGGUAACAGGUUAAGCUGACGAGUGGCGAACGGGUGAGUAAUGCAUCGGAACGUGCCCGAUCGUGGGGGAUAACGCAGCGAAAGCUGCGCUAAUACCGCAUACGAUCUGAGGAUGAAAGCGGGGGACCGUAAGGCCUCGCGCGAUCGGAGCGGCCGAUGUCAGAUUAGGUAGUUGGUGGGGUAAAGGCCCACCAAGCCGACGAUCUGUAGCUGGGCUGAGAGGACGACCAGCCACACGGGGACUGAGAGACGGCCCAGACUCCUACGGGAGGCAGCAGUGGGGAAUUUUGGACAAUGGGCGAAAGCCUGAUUCAGCAAUGCCGCGUGCGGGAAGAAGGCCUUCGGGUUGUAAACUGCUUUUGUACGGAGCGAAAAGGUCCUUUCUAAUACAAGGGGCUCAUGACGGUACCGUAAGAAUAAGCACCGGCUAACUACGUGCCAGCCGCCGCCGUAACAC
rnacentral:rRNA from 1 species